UCACUGGGGCCUGGUCCUGAUAUUUCAGAAGCUCAAGUCAGGCCCAGUGUGGCUUGCUUUCCCUACUGCCUUCAGAUCCGGAUGUAGAACUCUUAGCUUCUGCCAUGCUCCCCUCCAUGCUUCCCUCCAUGAUGAUAAUGGAAUGAACCUCUGAACUGUAAGUGACCCCAAUUAAGUGUUUUCCUUUAAAAGUGGUCAAUAGCACACCUAGACAUGGUACCUCAAUUCAAGAGUCCAGCUAAGAAGAGGGCCUCCUGGAGCCUUUAUGAUCGUUUUGUUAUACAGCCAUGGAACUUCCAGUGAAAAAUGGAAGCCCAAACCCAAGUGCAGGAUUUCAUUGGUAAUUCCAAAUUUAUGCAUUUUCCCUUUACUUCCAGCUAGGUCAGACAGUGAAGGCAAAGAAGCAGGAAGAAAAUAACAGAGCCGUCACCAUGACAGGAACCCUGCCUGAACUGCAGAAUGCAACCAGGGAUACUGAAACAAACACAUCAAAAGUGUUUCUGAACUUGAAGCAAGCAGACUCUGCUGGCGGCUCCCACCCUUAGUUCUGUUUCAAUCUUCUCGUCCUCAGAGAAUGACUGGGAUCAAGUUCCAUGCACAAGUACCCAGGCUCAUUGAAUGAAACACUUGAGGGUGGGGCAGCAGCCAGCAGGAGGCAGGUCUGUGCUUCUUUAAGAGCUGUCUUUGAAUUUUCAUGUACCCCUGCACUGGCUUCCAGCCAGAGGCACUUUCUGGAAGUCCCUACCACUGGACCUUCCCAAUCACCAUGCAGCGAUGGGAAUGUAUAGCUGAAGAUGGCCAGUUGCUGAGGAGCCCGGAGGGAAAGCCUUGGCGCCCAAGUAGAUAUGCACACCUGAUGAGGAUUCCAGUCGCUGUCAAAGAUGACCACCGUGUCCGCGGCCUGAAGAUUUAAACCCAGGCCCCCAGCUCGUGUGCUCAGCAAGAAAAUGAAAUACUGGGACCCUGGUUCAUUGAAUUUCUUCAGCAAAGCCGCCCGAUCUUCAGACUUGGUGGUGCCUGAGGGGAUAAGAAAAAUAAAUUUGCCAAUUAACUCCUGUCCGGAACAGGGAGAGAUCUAGACAAAAAUGCCUGCUUCCUUGAGAAAUACAUCCAUGGUCCUCUUAA